GUCCACGCCCUAACGAUGUCAACUGGUUGUUGGGUCUUCACUGACUCAGUAACGAAGCUAACGCGUGAAGUUGACAGCCUGGGAGUACGGCCGCAAGGUUGAACUCAAGGAAUUGACGGGACCCGCACAAGCGGUGGAUGAUGUGGUUUAAUUCGAUGCAACGCGAAACCUUACCCACCUUUGACAUGUACGGAAGUCGCUAGAGAUAGCUUCGUGCUCGAAAGAGAGCCGUAACACAGGUGCUGCAUGGCUGUCGU
rnacentral:rRNA from 1 species